AUUGAACGCUGGCGGCAGGCCUAACACAUGCAAGUCGAGCGGAUGAAGGGAGCUUGCUCCUGGAUUCAGCGGCGGACGGGUGAGUAAUGCCUAGGAAUCUGCCUGGUAGUGGGGGAUAACGUCCGGAAACGGGCGCUAAUACCGCAUACGUCCUGAGGGAGAAAGUGGGGGAGCUUCGGACCUCACGCUAUCAGAUGAGCCUAGGUCGGAUUAGCUAGUUGGUGGGGUAAAGGCCUACCAAGGCGACGAUCCGUAACUGGUCUGAGAGGAUGAUCAGUCACACUGGAACUGAGACACGGUCCAGACUCCUACGGGAGGCAGCAGUGGGGAAUAUUGGACAGUGGGCGAAAGCCUGAUCCAGCCAUGCCGCGUGUGUGAAGAAGGUCUUCGGAUUGUAAAGCCCUUUAAGUUGGGAGGAAGGGCAGUAAGUUAAUACCUUGCUGUUUUGACGUUACCAACAGAAUAAGCACCGGCUAACUUCGUG
rnacentral:rRNA from 1 species